rnacentral:tRNA from 1 species
UUUCGUAGUUGAUUCACAACGGUGGUUUUUCAAGUCGCUGGUCCUGGUUAGACUCCGGGCGAAAAUGAU